UGACUAUGCUACAGCUGGGCAUUCUCCUGUAUUGUAUUAAAUUAUUUGCCCAUCUUCAUGUCUCUGUGCCAUUCCCACAACCCACAGUUCCCAUUUGUCAAAACUGACACAACCUUCAGUGGCUUUGAAUCCCACUGACUCCAGGAAUCUUAGCAUACUGUCACUUCCUCCUCCUCUAAACUAUGGUCCUGUCUCAACAGGGCACUCCUGCUUGACAGAUCACUUCCUGGUCCAGCAGAAUACAAGUUCCUACAAGACAGAGGCCACAUAUAAGGUACCCAUGUUUGUGCACCACUACUACACAGACGUUGGUGCCUUGCCAAGAUCUCAGAUGUCUCUGCUAUGAACAGAGGAUAACAGCACAGGCAUACUCCCCAGGUGUGCAGGAAGAAUAAACCAAUGGCUGAAAAGCAAUUUAAAAUUGUAAAAUGAGGUGCUAUAUAUAAAUGUUACAUAAUCAAAA